rnacentral:rRNA from 1 species
CUACGUGCCAGCAGCCGCGGUAAUACGUAGGUCCCGAGCGUUGUCCGGAUUUAUUGGGCGUAAAGCGAGCGCAGGCGGUUAGAUAAGUCUGAAGUUAAAGGCUGUGGCUUAACCAUAGUACGCUUUGGAAACUGUUUAACUUGAGUGCAAGAGGGGAGAGUGGAAUUCCAUGUGUAGCGGUGAAAUGCGUAGAGAUGUGGAGGAAUACCGAUGGCGAAGGCAGCCUCCUGGGAUAACACUGACGUUCAUGCUCGAAAGCGUGGGUAGCAAACAGGAUUAGAUACCCUGGUAGUCCACGCCCUAAACGAUGUCAAUUAGCUGUUGGGCAACUUGAUUGCUUGGUAGCGUAGCUAACGCGUGAAAUUGACCGCCUGGGGAGUACGGUCGCAAGAUUAAAACUCAAAGGAAUUGACGGGGACCCGCACAAGCGGUGGAUGAUGUGGAUUAAUUCGAUGCAACGCGAAGAACCUUACCUGGUCUUGACAU